UCCGAAUUGGUGUAGUGGUUAACAUUUCACGCUCUCAAAUCACGCUUUCAAUCAUACGAAAGCGUACUUGAAGUACCGUGGAGCCCGGGGUUCGAUUCCCCGAUUCGGAG
rnacentral:tRNA from 1 species